rnacentral:rRNA from 1 species
GAUGAACGCUAGCUACAGGCUUAACACAUGCAAGUCGAGCGACCGGCGCACGGGUGAGUAACACGUAUCCAACCUGCCCUUUACUCGGGGAUAGCCUUUCGAAAGAAAGAUUAAUACCCGAUAUAAAGGAUGGGGAUGCGUUCCAUUAGGUUGUUGGGGAGGUAACGGCCCACCAAGCCUUCGAUGGAUAGGGGUUCUGAGAGGAAGGUCCCCCGGAGUGGAACUGGGACCCGGUCCAAACUCGUACGGGGGGGAGGGGUGUGGAAGAGAGGUGAAUGGGCGUUAGCCUGAACCUGCCAAGUAGCGUGAAGGAUGAUGGGUUAUGGGUCGUAAUCUUCUUUUAUGGAAGAAUCUGUAUUAUAUGAAUAAGGAUCGGCUAACUCCGUGCCAGCAGCCGCGGUAAUAC